UGGGGAAUCUUCCGCAAUGGACGAAAGUCUGACGGAGCAACGCCGCGUGAGUGAUGACGGCCUUCGGGUUGUAAAGCUCUGUUAAUCGGGACGAAUGGUUCUUGUGCGAAUAGUGCAAGGAUUUGACGGUACCGGAAUAGAAAGCCACGGCUAACUACGUGCCAGCAGCCGCGGUAAUACGUAGGUGGCAAGCGUUGUCCGGAAUUAUUGGGCGUAAAGCGCGCGCAGGCGGAUUGGUCAGUCUGUCUUAAAAGUUCGGGGCUUAACCCCGUUAUGGCAUUGAAACUGCCAAUCUAGAGUAUCGGAGAGGAAAGUGGAAUUCCUAGUGUAGCGGUGAAAUGCGUAGAUAUUAGGAAGAACACCAGUGGCGAAGGCGACUUUCUGGACGAAAACUGACGCUGAGGCGCGAAAGCCAGGGGAGCGAACGGG
rnacentral:rRNA from 1 species